AACAAGGAUUCCCCUAGUAACGGCGAGUGAAGCGGGAAAAGCUCAAAUUUGAAAUCUGGCAGCCUCAGGUUGCCCGAGUUGUAAUCUAUAGAAACGUUUUCCGCGCUGGCCCAUGUACAAGUCUCCUGGAAUGGAGCGUCAUAGAGGGUGAGAAUCCCGUCCUUGACAUGGACUACCAGUGCUUUGUGAUACGUUUUCAAAGAGUCGAGUUGUUUGGGAAUGCAGCUCAAAAUGGGUGGUAAAUUCCAUCUAAAGCUAAAUAUUGGCGAGAGACCGAUAGCGAACAAGUACCGUGAGGGAAAGAUGAAAAGCACUUUGGAAAGAGAGUUAAACAGUAUGUGAAAUUGUUGAAAGGGAAACGAUUGAAGUCAGUCAUGUCUAUUGGACUCAGCCGGUUCUGCCGGUGUACUUCCUUUAGAUGGGGUCAACAUCAGUUUUGAUCGCUGGAAAAGGGCAGGAGGAAUGUAGCACUCUCGGGUGAACUUAUAGCCUUCUGUCGUAUACAGUGGUUGGGACUGAGGAACGCAGCAUGCCUUUAUGGCCGGGGUUCGCCCACGUACAUGCUUAGGAUGUUGACAUAAUGGCUUUAAACGAC
rnacentral:rRNA from 1 species